CGGGUCUAAGUGGUGUAAAGUUCCUGGUGAGAGCCGCUGUUAUGGACAGAGUCAUCUACCACGGCUAUACAGCAUAUUAAUGGCAACCGCAGGAACUUGUCUACAUACCUGAAAUAAGGUCAGUGUUACUACAAGUUUAAGAGAUUUUAAAUCUACAAUAUAAAAUAUAUAUUUGAAGCUUUCUACGUGUCUUACAAAAAGGGCUACUAACAAAUGGCUAAAUGAGACUAGACAACGUCUGCCUCCACAGCCUCGUUGUGUACUUGGUUUACAGCCUUCAAAGAGGAAAUUGCUGUUGAUUUCUAAAGAUUACCUGAAUAAAACAUGUAAGUAUCAUAAACUUGUGUUUGUCGCCAAUGUUUAUUUUCUGCAAUAAUCCCAAAUCCAAUGUAAAAAGUCCCAUUGGCUUUUUUUGUGAGGAAACCAGUGCGACGCAAACUCCCAAGGGUUGGAAAAAGUAAGUCUUCCCUUUCGGGCAGAAACCAUUUGUUCAUGUCAUAGCAGUGUAAACACAUGUGUAAUUUAUACACGUUGAGUGUGUUACAGCCGUUCCAGUGAGCCAGGAAGAGCCCCGGCCCCCUAAAUGCAACAGAGCCGUCACUAACGUGUGUUCACGCUGCAGUGACGGGUACAAGUGGCUGCGGUGAAAAGGGCUCAUUGGCAGCUCAGAAUAUUUGUUGUGCUUUUUAAUCAAAGCAAUAUAAACAGAGUUGAUCAUAUAUUAAACCUCACAGCCAAA